rnacentral:rRNA from 1 species
AACGAACGCUGGCGGCAGGCCUAACACAUGCAAGUCGAGCGGAUGAGUGGAGCUUGCUCCAUGAUUCAGCGGCGGACGGGUGAGUAAUGCCUAGGAAUCUGCCUGGUAGUGGGGGACAACGUUUCGAAAGGAACGCUAAUACCGCAUACGUCCUACGGGAGAAAGUGGGGGAUCUUCGGACCUCACGCUAUCAGAUGAGCCUAGGUCGGAUUAGCUAGUUGGUGAGGUAAAGGCUCACCAAGGCGACGAUCCGUAACUGGUCUGAGAGGAUGAUCAGUCACACUGGAACUGAGACACGGUCUAGACUCCUACGGGAGGCAGCAGUGGGGAAUAUUGGACAAUGGGCGAAAGCCUGAUCCAGCCAUGCCGCGUGUGUGAAGAAGGUCUUCGGAUUGUAAAGCACUUUAAGUUGGGAGGAAGGGCAGUAAGUUAAUACCUUGCUGUUUUGACGUUACCAACAGAAUAAGCACCGGCUAACUUCGUGCCAGCCGCCGCCGUAACAC